ensembl:lncRNA
UUAAAAACAUGUCUGACAUUUAUUGGUAAAAACCAAUAGAAGGCAGCCAGUGCAGAGACUUUAAAACCAGUGUAAUGUGUCCUCUCCGUCAGGUCUUGGUCAGUACGCGUGCUGCAGCAUUCUGUAUGUUUUACAGUACAGAGACUUUAAAACCAGUGUAAUGUGUCCUCUCCGUCUGGUCUUGGUCAGUACGCGUGCUGCAGCAUUCUGUAUGUUUUACAGUACAGAGACUUUAAAACCAGUGUAAUGUGUUCUCUCCGUCUGGUCUUGGUCAGUACGCGUGCUGCAGCAUUCUGUAUGUUUUACAGUACAGAGACUUUAAAACCAGUGUAAUGUGUUCUCUCCGUCUGGUCUUGGUCAGUACGCGUGCUGCAGCAUUCUGUACGUUUUGCAGUUGACCAAUGGCUUUCUUGAGUAGACCUGACAGGAGAGCAUUACAGUAGUCAAGCCUGCUUGUAAUAAAAGCAUGGGAGAGUCUCUCUGUAUCAGCCUGAGAGAGAAACGGCCGCACCUUGGCAAUGUUCCUCAGGUGGUAAAAAGCUAUUAUGGUCACAUUCCUAACGUGUGAUUCAAAAUGAAGUUCAGAAUCUAAACUGACACUUCAGUUUUUUAACUGGUGUUUAAUUUUUUAUUGCAAGGCCAGAUUCUCUCUCCGUGUUUCGGCUCCAACAAUAAAUACCUCCGUCUUGCCUUUAUUUAGGAAGUUGUGACAUUCAUUUAGGAAGUCGAGAGUCAUCCAAGCAUUUAAAUCUUGAAUCAUUUAUCAGUGGAGCUAAAAUCCUCUGGUGACACAGAAAGGUAAAGCUGUGUAUCAUCUGCGUAGCAGUGAAAAUCAAUGCUGUGCUUUCUGAUAACGCUGCCAAGGGGUAACAUAUAUAAACUGAUCAGUACCUGACCCAAAAUCGAACCGUGUGGAAUAUCUAUAGUAUUUUCUCUGAGUUAUGUUCCCCAAGGGUGACAAAAAAACUCUGGAGCAGUUAAAUAGGUCCUAAACCAACAUAGAAUUGGCCCAGAGAGGCCAACCCACCUUUCCAAUCUGCCCAGAAGGACAUCACGGUUGAACGGUGUCAAAUAAAGCACUUAAAUCCAUGAGUACAAGGACAGAGAGCUGUUUGGCAUCUGCCUUGGCUUUAAGAUCAUUUAUCACUUUUACUAAGGCUGUCGCUGUGCUGUGGUGGCCAUGAAAACCAGAUUGCACUUAAAAAAGUACUUUUCUGUUGAAUUCAUUUAAAUCCAGAAUUUUACUUAAGAAAGGAGGGUUGGAGAUUGGCCGAAAAUUGCCAUUAACUGAACAAUCUAGAUUCCUUUUCUUCAGAAGGGGUUUCACAAUAGCAGUUUUUAGCGUAGCGGGGGAAGUGCCUGUCAACAGGGAGUGAUUAACAACAGCUUGUAAUUAACAAGUAUUUUGAAGAAGGUGGAGGGGAUAGGCAGGUAGAAGGUGGAGGGGAUAGGUAGGUAGAAGGUGGAGGGGAUAGGUAGGUAGAAGGUGGAGGGGAUAGGUAGGUAGAAGGUGGAGGGGAUAGGCAGGUAGAAGGCAGGUAGAAGGUGGAGGGGAUAGGCAGGUAGAAGGCAGGUAGAAGGUGGAGGGGAUAGGCAGGUAGAAGGUGGAGGGGAUAGGUAGGUAGAAGGCAGGUAGAAGAUGGAGGGGAUAGGCAGGUAGAAGGCAGGUAGAAGGUGGAGGGGAUAGGCAG